rnacentral:rRNA from 1 species
CUACAGGCUUAACACAUGCAAGUCGAGGGGCAGCAUGGUCUUAGCUUGCUAAGGCCGAUGGCGACCGGCGCACGGGUGAGUAACACGUAUCCAACCUGCCGUCUACUCUUGGACAGCCUUCUGAAAGGAAGAUUAAUACAAGAUGGCAUCAUGAGUCCGCAUGUUCACAUGAUUAAAGGUAUUCCGGUAGACGAUGGGGAUGCGUUCCAUUAGAUAGUAGGCGGGGUAACGGCCCACCUAGUCUUCGAUGGAUAGGGGUUCUGAGAGGAAGGUCCCCCACAUUGGAACUGAGACACGGUCCAAACUCCUACGGGAGGCAGCAGUGAGGAAUAUUGGUCAAUGGGCGAGAGCCUGAACCAGCCAAGUAGCGUGAAGGAUGACUGCCCUAUGGGUUGUAAACUUCUUUUAUAAAGGAAUAAAGUCGGGUAUGGAUACCCGUUUGCAUGUACUUUAUGAAUAAGGAUCGGCUAACUCCGUGCCAGCAGCCGCGGUAAUACGGAGGAUCCGAGCGUUAUCCGGAUUUAUUGGGUUUAAAGGGAGCGCAGAUGGAUGUUUAAGUCAGUUGUGAAAGUUUGCGGCUCAACCGUAAAAUUGCAGUUGAUACUGGAUAUCUUGAGUGCAGUUGAGGCAGGCGGAAUUCGUGGUGUAGCGGUGAAAUGCUUAGAUAUCACGAAGAACUCCGAUUGCGAAGGCAGCCUGCUAAGCUGCAACUGACAUUGAGGCUCGAAAGUGUGGGUAUCAAACAGGAUUAGAUACCCUGGUAGUCCACACGGUAAACGAUGAAUACUCGCUGUUUGCGAUAUACUGCAAGCGGCCAAGCGAAAGCGUUAAGUAUUCCACCUGGGGAGUACGCCGGCAACGGUGAAACUCAAAGGAAUUGACGGGGGCCCGCACAAGCGGAGGAACAUGUGGUUUAAUUCGAUGAUACGCGAGGAACCUUACCCGGGCUUAAAUUGCAGAUGAAUUACGGUGAAAGCCGUAAGCCGCAAGGCAUCUGUGAAGGUGCUGCAUGGUUGUCGUCAGCUCGUGCCGUGAGGUGUCGGCUUAAGUGCCAUAACGAGCGCAACCCUUGUUGUCAGUUACUAACAGGUUCCGCUGAGGACUCUGACAAGACUGCCAUCGUAAGAUGUGAGGAAGGUGGGGAUGACGUCAAAUCAGCACGGCCCUUACGUCCGGGGCUACACACGUGUUACAAUGGGGGGUACAGAGGGCCGCUACCACGCGAGUGGAUGCCAAUCCCCAAAACCUCUCUCAGUUCGGACUGGAGUCUGCAACCCGACUCCACGAAGCUGGAUUCGCUAGUAAUCGCGCAUCAGCCACGGCGCGGUGAAUACGUUCCCGGGCCUUGUACACACCGCCCGUCAAGCCAUGGGAGCCGGGGGUACCUGAAGUGCGUAACCGCGAGGAGCGCCCUAGGGUAAAACUGGUGACUGGGGCUAAG